rnacentral:tRNA from 1 species
GGAGACGUAUUCGUCCUGGUGGGCGGCACAGCCUUCAAAGCUGUUGAGGCCGAGGAUCUCGGUCUGGCGGGUUCGAUUCCCGUCCGUCUCCGCCA